UACGGAGGGGGCUAGCGUUGUUCGGAAUUACUGGGCGUAAAGCGUGCGCAGGCGGUUUGUUAAGUCUGCUGUGAAAUCCCCGAGCUCAACUUGGGAAUUGCAGUGGAUACUGGCAAGCUAGAGUAUGGUAGAGGAAGGUGGAAUUCCCGGUGUAGCAGUGAAAUGCGUAGAGAUCGGGAGGAACACCAGUGGCGAAGGCGGCCUUCUGGACCAAUACUGACGCUCAUGCACGAAAGCGUGGGGAGCAAACAGG
rnacentral:rRNA from 1 species